AUACGUAGGGGGCGAGCGUUGUCCGGAAUGAUUGGGCGUAAAGGGCGCGUAGGCGGCGCGGUAAGUCUGGAGUGAAAGUCCUGCUUUCAAGGUGGGAAUUGCUUUGGAUACUGCCGCGCUUGAGUGCAGGAGAGGUUAUCGGAAUUCCCGGUGUAGCGGUGAAAUGCGUAGAGAUCGGGAGGAACACCAGUGGCGAAGGCGGGUAACUGGACUGCAACUGACGCUGAGGCGCGAAAGUGUGGGGAGCAAACAGGAUUAGAUACCCUGGUAGUCCACACAGUAAACGAUGAAUGCUAGGUGUAAGAGGUAUCGACCCCUUUUGUGCCGGAGUCAACACAAUAAGCAUUCCGCCUGGGGAGUACGGCCGCAAGGUUGAAACUCAAAUGAAUUGACGGGG
rnacentral:rRNA from 1 species